ACGUGAACUACAGCAGCUGCUGGACACUGCACAAGAUCAGACAUGUAAAUUCUCUUGUGCGUGUGACAGCGGCUAUUGUGAAUCACUAACUGCAUCGA
rnacentral:pre_miRNA from 1 species